UGAGACUUUAUCAUUUGUCCCUUGCUUUCUCUUUUGCCUUGUUGCUUUCCCUGAGCAAAGGUGACUGAAUGGUGAUUAUGAGAUGGAUGUUUCUAACCUUGGUGGUUAAUUUAUGAACUUAAACUAACUCAUGACUUUGGGAAUUCUAAAGUCCAUAUGCUGACUGACAGCAGAAGAUUCUUGUUGCAACAGUGACACUUCUUGGAGGAGGGAGAUCACUGGCAGGAUCAUCCUGGUACCUGAAAGCCCCAAAUAUGACCUGUCUAGCCAGAAAACUUGGACCUUAAGCUACUGUUCAGCCAGUACAGACUGAGGUAUACUGUUGGUCACAAAGGGGAUUGGAGAAGAGUAUGGAUACAUGUAAUAAAUCCAUCAUCACUACUGGAAACUACUGGAAAUUCAUUUCAGAGGAUAGACCCUGCUGAUGGUUACUUCCUAUGCCUGGGAUGCUUUCUGUCUUCACCUCUCCCUCUUGGAAUUCCUAGAUCCCUUUGAGGCUCAGCUCGAGUGAUCCUUCCUUCAAAAAGCCUUUCCUGAUUAUCAUAGUUGUCAGUUCCCUUCCCAAAAAAUCACAGAUCUGAAGCUGGCCGAGACCCGAGAGAAUAUCUAGUUCGUUCUGCUCAUUUUGCAAAUGAGGAAACUGAAGCACAGAGAGAAUUAUCUCCAUCCAUAUGGAUGAAUGUGAAGAUCGGAUACAUAUGUGAGCACAUUCAGAUGAGACAUUUAAGGAUGGUCAAGUAUGAUUUGGCAUUCUUUUGAAAUUAUUUCACUUUCUAGCAUCCUUGCAUAUUUUAAGGAACUCUGAUUUCUUAAAAUACUCAAAACCUGACCUCUGGAAGUUGUUGUUGUUGUUUUUUGGUAGUAAAACAGAUGUGACAAUGCCUUUGCAUUUGGAAGACUUUCUUUAAAGAUAAAUGGGAUGAAUUUAUAAAUGAAGAUAGCCCCUAGCAGUAACAGAAAGAAUGACAAAUUGGGGAAAGAGUUCUAUUUAGCUCCUUAUUUCCCACUUAUUGAUAAAUCAUCUUGUUGCUAUAUAAAAAACUUCCACCAAAUAUAAAAUGAAUCCCUAAAAUUAAUCAACAAAAAUGUAUUAAGUGCCAGGGACUGUGCUAGGCAUUGGGGAUACAAAUACAAAGAAAAUGAGAUCUUCUUGAAAGUAAAUCUACAUGGAGGUGCAGCUAGGUUGCACAGUG